GAUGAACGCUGGCGGCGUGCCUAAUACAUGCAAGUCGAGCGAACAGACGAGGAGCUUGCUCCUCUGACGUUAGCGGCGGACGGGUGAGAAACACGUGGAUAACCUACCUAUAAGACUGGGAUAACUUCGGGAAACCGGAGCUAAUACCGGAUAAUAUAUUGAACCGCAUGGUUCAAUAGUGAAAGACGGUUUUGCUGUCACUUAUAGAUGGAUCCGCGCCGCAUUAGCUAGUUGGUAAGGUAACGGCUUACCAAGGCAACGAUGCGUAGCCGACCUGCGAGAGUGAUAGGCCACACUGGAACUGAGACACGGUCCAGACGACUACGGGAGGCAGCAGUAGGGAAUCGUCCGCAAUGGGCGAAAGCCUGACGGAGCAACGCCGCGUGAGUGAUGAAGGUCUUCGGAUCGUAAAACUCUGUUAUUAGGGAAGAACAAAUGUGUAAGUAACUAUGCACGUCUUGACGGUACCUAAUCAGAAAGCCACGGCUAACUACGUG
rnacentral:rRNA from 1 species